rnacentral:rRNA from 1 species
UACGAGGGGUGCAAGCGUUGUUCGGAAUUACUGGGCGUAAAGCGUGAGGAGGCGGCUUGUUAAGUCUGAUGUGAAAGCCCUGGGCUCAACCUGGGAACGGCAUUGGAAACUGGCUUACUAGAGUGCGGUAGAGGGGUGUGGAAUUCCCGGUGUAGCAGUGAAAUGCGUAGAUAUCGGGAGGAACAUCUGUGGCGAAGGCGACGCCCUGGACCAGCACUGACACUGAGGCACGAAAGCGUGGGGAGCAAACAGG